rnacentral:rRNA from 1 species
UACGGAGGAUGCGAGCGUUAUCCGGAUUUAUUGGGUUUAAAGGGUGCGUAGGCGGGUUAUCAAGUCAGCGGUAAAAUCGUGGAGCUCAACUCCAUCCAGCCGUUGAAACUGAUGAUCUUGAGUGGGCGAGAAGUAUGCGGAAUGCGUGGUGUAGCGGUGAAAUGCAUAGAUAUCACGCAGAACUCCGAUUGCGAAGGCAGCAUACCGGCGCCCGACUGACGCUGAAGCACGAAAGCGCGGGUAUCGAACAGG